rnacentral:lncRNA from 1 species
CGAUGCUAGUCAUCAGUUGCGGGCCACGGGUGCCCGCUACUUAUAUGUCGUCACCAAGUUUGUUUUGGCCACAAAUACAUGAAAAUUAUAUCUUGCCUUCCUUACCAUCAAUCAACAACUGAAUAGCCCCUCACAUGAACUCUACAAGAAAGAGGCUGGCAAGAAACAACUCUCGAUGCAAGAACUCAAAAAAUUUACAAACAUAUAUCGUUGAAAUUUUGAUUUUAAAUUUUUUGGCAUCACUGUUGGCCCCGAGGCGCCCGACACUGAUAGAUUUGGCUACUGCUCGUUUUUUUCGUUUUUUUUUCUUCCUUUAUCCAAAGCGGGACCCACGGUGACUUGUCUUCAAACUCACUUUUUUCAGUGUUUCUUGCAUUAUUAUUUUAAGUGUUUUUGCAUUAUUAUUUUCAGUGUUUCUUGCAUUAUUAUUUGCGGGUCAUUUCUGUACGAAAAUUAAUGUAACUAAAGAAAACUCGAAUGGAUCUUGAAAAUACAUACAUACAUAUAUAUAUAUAUAUAUAUAU